rnacentral:pre_miRNA from 1 species
AGUGGAAUUGCUGGGUGGUAUGGUAUGUUUAACUUUUUGAGAAGCUGUCAGACUGUUUUCUGAAGUCGCUGGACCAGUUUAUAUUCCCAGCAGGAGU